UACGGGAGGCAGCAGUGGGGAAUAUUGCACAAUGGGCGCAAGCCUGAUGCAGCCAUGCCGCGUGUACGAAGAAGGCCUUCGGGUUGUAAAGUACUUUCAGUCGUGAGGAAGGUGUUAAGGUUAAUAACCUUAGCAAUUGACGUUAGCGACAGAAGAAGCACCGGCUAACUCCGUGCCAGCAGCCGCGGUAAUACGGAGGGUGCGAGCGUUAAUCGGAAUUACUGGGCGUAAAGGGCACGCAGGCGGUUAAUUAAGUUGGAUGUGAAAUCCCCGGGCUUAACCUGGGAAUGGCAUUCAAGACUGGUUAGCUAGAGUCUUGUAGAGGGGGUUAGAAUUCCAUGUGUAGCGGUGAAAUGCGUAGAGAUGUGGAGGAAUACCGGUGGCGAAGGCGGCCCCUGGACAAAGACUGACGCUCAUGUGCGAAAGCGUGGGGAGCAAACAGGGAUUAGAUACC
rnacentral:rRNA from 1 species